UAAUUUCUGUGUUUCAAUUUAUUCUGCAGAAAUAUGGAGAUCUGAUCGAGGGCGUGACAAAAGCUCUAGUUUGUCUAUUAUGGUUUAGUUUUGUGCUGAAACAAUUUGUCAACAUAAUAAUUGACUUCCGCUUGUGGCCAAAUGGUAUGUUCCUCUUCAUUUCAGUUUAGACUGCAUUGUAUUAUGGUUCUUCGUUUCAGCUUUAUUUUAGUCUUUUGUAGUUUAAUAAAAGCUACAUGUUGAAAGAGCAAGUUCGUUGUUUGGCUACUUGCAACUUAAUUUUUUUACAGAAGGGAUGGCAUUCCGACUGUGUCAAACGCUGAGAUGUGCUAUUGUUGUACUUGGUUUGAUUUGGAUGAUUAUACGACAUAUAUGGGGAUAGAAUUUGAUGCAUUUGGCGGAAUAGAAUGGAGAUCGACAAUGGAUUCUGUUGCAGGAAAAUGUGUUUUUGUGAACAUUCAAAUGCUUCAUGUGGAUAGUGGUUUUCUGUCUUUCUUGUCCAACUGCAACUCCUCAUUUGGAGCUUUUUUUAGUUGAUUUCAUCAAUAUAUCUAAUGCAGUAGACUUAUCUUCUCUA